AUUGAACGCUGGCGGCAUGCCUAACACAUGCAAGUCGAACGGCAGCAUGCUCUGUAGCAAUACAGAGUGAUGGCGAGUGGCGGACGGGUGAGAAAUACGUAGGGAUCUGCCUUGAAGAGGGGGACAACCCGGGGAAACUCGGGCUAAUACCGCAUGAUACUCUAAGGAGGAAAGGGUUGGCGCAAGCCAGUCGCUUUAAGAGGAACCUACGUCCGAUUAGCUAGUUGGUAAGGUAAAGGCUUACCAAGGCAGAGAUCGGUAGCUGGUCUGAGAGGAUGACCAGCCACACUGGGACUGAGACACGGCCCAGACUCCUACGGGAGGAAGCAGUGGGGAAUAUUGGACAAUGGGGGCAACCCUGAUCCAGCGAUGCCGCGUGUGUGAAGAAGGCCUUCGGGUUGUAAAGCACUUUAGUUGGGGAAGAAGGCUUGCGGUUGAAUAGGCCGCAAGAUUGACGGUACCCAAAGAAUAAGCACCGGCUAACUCUGUGCCAGCCGCCGCGGUAA
rnacentral:rRNA from 1 species